CAACAUCCUCCGUGUGGAGUCUCUCCAGCUUGCACAUUAAGCUUUUGUUUCCUUCUUUUCACAAAAUGAACGGAUCCUCGUUUAUCCAAUGGACCGAAGGGUGGGAGGAGCAACGCGCUGGGAUGGCACUCAGUUUCUCUUUUAAUCCGUUUCAGUCUUUUCUUAAAUUAAGUCUGUUUAACAAAAAGGCGAGAAAGGAAUUCUGCAGUGCAGACCGGUGUAAUAACACAGCUGGUGUGCAAGACGGCGCAAACUGGUGCAGCGUUAUUAUUCAGCAACCGUUACGCCGCCCGAGUCGGUGGAUUUGAAACCACUUAGAAGUUUUUGUUUAUAGGAAAUCUGUUCAUGUCUGCCCCAAAAAGAUGUCGGCUCCUGGUUCAUUAAAGACACAUUUUAUUUUAUUUUCCAUGUGAGAAAAGUCAUUGAAAAUAUCCCAGAGUGCCAGACUCUGAAUUUCAGGAUGAUUCCUGCAUCCGCUGGCCUAAAGCCGCUGGUUCGUGGCUAGUAGGAGUCACAAAACCACAAAAAAGCAAAUUUUCUGCUAAAAUCGCAAAGAAUUGGGAAGUUGGACACGUUUACGUGAUAAUCCAACUACCAUUCAGGGGGCUGCAAUUUUAAAACGGUUAUGGAUGAGAGUCUAAAGCCUCAGAUGUUGGCUGUUCUAUCUGAUGGAGGUUAAAAAUGCCAAAAGCUUCCUGUCAGUAGCUUUUUCAGUUUGUGUAAUUUUUAAGGACGACGGGAUAAGGAUGAGACGGGUUUAAUAAUAAUAAUAAUAAUAAUAGUAAUAAUAAUAAUAGCCUUUAUUGUCAUUGUACAGGAUACAACGAAAUUGGAGUGCCACUCCCUUGGUGCACAAUACAAAAAUACUUCUAAAUAUAAAAGGUCCCCUAAAACAAAACAAUAAGAUCGCCCUGGGAAAGAAGCUAUCCCUGGAUCUGUUUGACCUGGUUUUAUGUGACCUGUACCAUCGACCUGAUGGUAAUAGUUGAAAGACUUGAUUGCUGGGGUGAGACUGAUUCUUGAUAUUACUCGCUCUGCUGAGGUACCGAGAGUUUGCAAUGACCUCCGGGCUGGACAGAGAGCAGCCAGUGAUCUUCUGGGCUGUGUUGACGACCCUCUGCAGUACUUUCCUGUCUGCAGCUGAGCACCCUGCAUACCAUGCUGUUAUGAUGCUUUCUAUGGUGGCUCUGUAGAAAGUCGCCAGCAGCCUCUCCUCCAGGUUGUUCCUCCUGAGCACUCUCAGAAAGUGGAGAUGCUGCUGGGCCUUUUUUACCACUGCCGUGGUUUAGCUUCUCUUCUUGUGUUUUUUUAAGAUUCUGGAUUGACCCUUUGCACGUGACGUCUCGCCACUCAUGUGACCGCCCCCUUCACCAUGAUGGACGGCAAAAAGGCCGUUUACACCCGUAGAAACUCCAGUGAAGCUAGUCAAAACAAGCCAGUUUGUAGCCGUUUAUCGCUUUUAUUUAGUUGAUUUGACAGUAAAAUGGUUUUAGCUUGCUGCGUGGUCGGCUGCACUAACAGACAAGGACGUAAACUCAACUCGUUUUUUCUUCUUAAUAACUUUGAUGGAGACUGAGGACGAAGAUGAACUAUACUAGUUAGUGAUAAUCCUGAUGGAUGGGUAUUUCACCACGGAGGCUGCGCGCCGUCCACUGUAGUGUAAAGCGAGACAAUUAUUAACAAUAUUAAAGCUCCGAUGUAGGAUUACGUGUGUUAAAAUGACGUUAUUUAUUUAUUUAUACGAGCGUCGGCGUUCAGAGAUCUUCUCAUUCCGGUGUGAGAGCAGCAGCUGAACCCGGUAACACCACCAGCAACAGAAGCUGGUAGGGAUCCGGACUUUUUAACAAUCAGCUUUGGUGUAAAGUGAAACGCUGUUUAUAACAUAGUUAUAAAUCCAGAGGGGUGAAUUUAGGCAAAGUCAGCGACAUGUUUACAUCGGUGAACAGCUGCAGAGAGAACGUAAGCUAACGUUGGUAAGCUAGUUAGCAUACCGCUCUCUAUGAGCCCCCGCUAGAUGCGCUACUUCCUCUGAUAACUGAACUGGGCAUGAACUAGUUGAAGGAAUGACUUGUGUCAAGCCAGCCUCCAGUUUAUUGUCGGUUCCCGUCUACUCAAAGUAUUACGGGAAGGGAUGUGGAAACCGGAUUUCAAAAGAAAAGGAAGCUUCGUGUGAAUUGGCAGAUAUUUUAAGAACAUAAUAACUUAUAAUUUCGGCUUGUUCACUAUUAGCGGCCUGUCAAUAUCAAGGCCAUCUUAUUUUGGAUUUCAAAGUAAAAGCCCUGUGAAUUUUCAACUCAGUCUGAUGUUGCCUUCCAAAAUAAAAGCCCUUUCAAAUUGUCCAUAAUUGACCUAACUUUCAGUGAUUUCAAAAUGCUCUAAAAUGGAAAAUUGCUGUUUCCACAGGGUAAUUCCACUUCAGAUCAACAGUAUACAACCCCACAGUGAUACCGUAUCAAUAUCAAGUCAUUCUGAUGUUGCCUUCCAAAAUAAAGGCCUUUUUAAAUUGCCCAUAUACGACCUAACUUUCAGUGAAUUCAAGAAGAAAGAGAUCGCGGAUACAAGCAACCAAAAUGAGUUUCCUUCAGAAGGUGGCUGGGCUCAGCCGUAGAGCCACAGCUCCUCCACAUUGAGAGGAGCCAGCAGAGUUGGUUCAGGUAUCUAGUCGGGAUGCCACCUGGACGCCUUCCUGAGGUGGUGUUUCGGGCAUGUCCUGCCGGCAGGAGGCCCCCGGGUCGAUCCAAGACACGUUGGAGCAAAUACGUCUCCAAUCUGGCCCAGGAACGCCUUGGGGUCCUGCUGGUAGAGGUGGCCGGGGAGAGGGUCUGGGAUGCCCUACUUGAGAUGCGACCCGGACCCGGAUAGGCAAAAGAAAAUGAACGGAUAUCAGGAGAAAAGCUAAUAUCAGGCACCCCUAAUAAUUAGUUUUCAAAUUGGUAAAAAAAAAAAAAAACAUUUGAGGGAACUGGAAUUAAGGAUUUUAAUUUCUUGUCUUAUUAUUCCUGAUUAUUUAUGUUUUCUUCUGGCCAGCAAACAUGUCAGGUUCUUUAGUGCAGGUGAAAAACGUAGCAUAGCUGCCGGAGGUUAGGUAGGUGGGGGGUAAUUUACAGGUGGGCGGGGUGCAUAGCACUCUGUAGGAAUACUCAGAAGUGUGUGUGUGUGUGUGUGUGUGUGUGUGUGUGUGUGUGUGUGUGUGUGUGUGUGUGUGUGUGUGUGUGUGUGUGUGUGUGUGUGUGUGUGUGUGUGUGUGUGUGUGUGUGUGUGUGUGUGUGUGUGUGUGUGUGUGUGUGAGAUG